GACGAACGCUGGCGGCGCGCUUAACACAUGCAAGUCGAGCGAGAUCCAGGCCUUCGGGCCUGGGGACAGCGGCGAACGGGUGAGUAACACGUGGGUAAUCAACCCUCGACACUGGGAUAGCCCGGGGAAACCCGGAUUAAUACCGGAUGGCCCUUUGGGUCCUCGGAUCUGAAGGAAAAGGUAGCUUCGGCCUCCGGUCGAGGACGAGCCCGCGGCGGAUUAGCUUGUUGGUGAGGUAACGGCUCACCAAGGCGACGAUCCGUAGCUGGUCUGAGAGGACGAUCAGCCACACUGGGACGGAGACACGGCCCAGACUCCUACGGGAGGCAGCAGUGGGGAAUCUUGCGCUAAUGCGGGAAACCGUGACGCGGCGACGCCGCGUGAGGGAAGAAGGCCUUCGGGUUGUAAACCUCUUUCAGGAGGGACGAAGCCACUCGGGUGAAUAGCCCAGAGGGUGACGGUACCUCCAGAAGAAGCCCCGGCUAACUACGUGCCAGCCGCCGCGGUAAUAC
rnacentral:rRNA from 1 species